rnacentral:rRNA from 1 species
GGCGGCAGGCCUAACACAUGCAAGUCGAGCGCGAAAUCACUUCGGUGAGAGUAGAGCGGCGGACGGGUGAGUAACGCGUAAGAAUCUACCUAGUAGUGGGGGACAACUCGGGGAAACUCGAGCUAAUACCGCAUACGCCCUACGGGGGAAAGCGGGGGACCUUCGGGCCUCGCGCUAUUAGAUGAGCUUGCGUUGGAUUAGCUUGUUGGUGAGGUAAUGGCUCACCAAGGCGACGAUCCAUAGCUGGUCUGAGAGGAUGAUCAGCCACACCGGGACUGAGACACGGCCCGGACUCCUACGGGAGGCAGCAGUGGGGAAUAUUGCGCAAUGGGCGAAAGCCUGACGCAGCCAUGCCGCGUGUGUGAAGAAGGCCUUAGGGUUGUAAAGCA